CGAACGGUAAAUAUUUUAGCAAUAGAAUAUGAGAGUGACGUACGGGUGCGUAACACGUAUGCAACCUACCCUUUACAGAUGGAUAGCUCGGGGAAACUCGAAUUAACCCGUCAUAAGAUCAUAGAGUGGCAUCACUUAGUGAUUAAAUUACAAGAGGUAAAGGAUGGGCAUGCGUCUGAUUAGUUAGUUGGCGGGGUAACGGCCCACCAAGACGAUGAUCAGUAGGGGAACUGAGAGGUUGAUCCCCCACACUGGCACUGAGAUACGGGCCAGACUCCUACGGGAGGCAGCAGUAGGGAAUAUUGGUCAAUGGAUGGAAGUCUGAACCAGCCAUGCCGCGUGCAGGAAGACGGCCUUCUGGGUUGUAAACUGCUUUUGCCAGGGGCUAAAAAGCUCAUGCGUGAGAAAUUGAAAGUACCUGGUGAAUAAGCCACGGCUAACUACGUGCCAGCAGCCGCGGUAAUACGUAGGUGGCAAGCGUUG
rnacentral:rRNA from 1 species